GCUAUAACGUUCACUUUUUAUGUGGCGCUCUUCAACCUCCUUCACAAAUAGGAGUAUCCUUUUCUUAAUUUCCAUUUUUUUAUUUAUUACAUUUUCUUUCUUUCUUCUUCUUCUUUCACUUCAUUCUGCAACACAGCAGCACUUCUUCAACCAUUAAUGCCAAACUUCUCAUUUUGAGCUUCUGCUUCAAAGUUUUUCAAGAAAGAUAUCAAUGCCUAUGAAAGGGCGGAAGGACUCUUGGUUGAAUUGAUACCGUCAUCUUGUUAUGGUUUUGUGGAGAAAGCGUGUGAGCUUGGAGCACCUUGUUAAGAAUCAAUCGCGUGUCUGGGUAACUUUCUCACAGCCUAAUUUCUUAAAAGUCUUCCUUCACUGCCUAAGUUUGCUUCAAAGUCUUCCUUCGCGUGUCUGGGUAACACUUCAAAGUAAAACUUAUCUCCCUUAUCUCCUUCACCCACCUUAUGCUCACACUCAGCUUUUAACAUUAUUCAGCCCCUGCUGCAAGCUAUCUAUCUAACAACACCAGCCGAGCCAACGUUCAAAAGAUAGCGUAAUCAUAUUGGAGGAGAGGAUUUAUUUUGAUUCUUCAAAAGGUAUCUUUUACUGCGUUUUUUCCCCUUGUUAGUUGUUAUUAAGUUAUAUAUCUCAUCUUGUUCUUUAUCACUUCUAUAAAUAUAUUUAUUCCUUCAAUAAAACAAUUUUCAUUCAGUUAUAAACCGUUUUGUAUAUAUAAACUAAUUUUAAACCAAUUUAUUAAUUACAAACCGGUUUUAUAUUGUAAAUUGGUUUAAGAACUAGCUUUGGGUUUUAUAUUGAAAAAUUCAUUGAAUGAUGUUUACAUUCGGUAGAUAGAGGCAAAACCUUGAUACUUGAAUUUUGUGUAGAUUAAAAGAGACUAUGAAUGAUUGUUAACAUCUACAUAAUAAAUCUGGAAAAGAAAUACCUUUUGAUUGUAUAUUCUAAACAAAUCUCAUUUUUGAAAAAUUAAGCUAGGCUAUUGAACUCUUCUUUGUAGAUGUUAGAGUUUUCAUUAGUUUUAGAAUGAUAAUCUCAAUCUAAAAAUAAACUCAAAGCAAUUGACAUUCAUUUAUAUAAGAUUUAAAAAUAAAUUUUAUGAACUCUUCGAUUAGAGAAAAAGAGAACGUUUCAUUUUAAACUAGGUAAAUUUUUGUAUACAUAUAUAUCUUAUUAAUAAUUUUAAUAUCACUAUAAAACUCUAGGAUGAAUACUUUAAGUGUAUUCUUUUUUAAAAAUAUAAAAGAAUACGACUUGGACAACCACAUACUUUUCAUUAUUUAAAUAACAUAAAUCCCUAUUUCUUGUAGUAUAUUAACAAAUGUAGUUCAAUUUCAGGUUGCUUGUCGCACGUUUCUGAUUACAAAAGUCAUUAUGGAAAAAUACCAUUCUCAAAUAUUAUUACAUUUUUCUUUCAUCACUAGCACUUUUAUUUUUCUCCCACUCUUCUUUAGCCAAUUUUAGGUUACCGCAGAUGAAAUUUACACAUCUUGCACACCUUUUAGCUGUGGUAAUUUCAUUAAUAUAACAUAUCUUUUCUGGAACCUUAACACACAAUCUAGCUACUGCGGACGCCCUGAGUUUAUGCUUAACUGCCAAAAUGGUAGAUUAACUAUGAAAAUGAUGUCUCAAAUUUUUUACAUCCUUUAUAUAAAUUAAUCCUCUCAAGUUUUGAGGAUUGCAAGAGACAAUUUAUGGGGUUUUCUUCCUGGAAAUGCGUUUUCUUGUCCCAAACAUUAUACUAAUGUGGAAAUAGAUUCCCAUUUCUUUCAUUACACUUCCAACAAUGAAAUGUAUACUAUAUUGUAUGAGUGUGGUCCUCUUCCAAAUUCAUUCUUUACUCCCUCGUUUCAAAUUUCUUUUGAAGUAAUCGGUUGUUAUAUGGAGGGAAAAUUUCAUAGUACAUACGUAGUAUCAAGUUCUAAAUUGACUGAUUUGAAUACGGUGAACUGCAAGAAUAGUAUCACAGUUCCUGGAAAAAAGAAUUCUUUGACAAACAAAUCACGUGUUAUGGAGGGUAUUUUAGUCCAAGGAUUUGAGGUGAGAUGGAAUGGUGUUGGGGAAGACAAGUGCCAUGCUUGUACAAAAAAUGGAAGCAGAUGUGGAUACAAAAGAGUAGAAAAUGCAUUUAUGUGUCUCUCGAAGAGAUUUGUCAAGUCCAUGAAGUAAAAUAUUCUAUUUGAAUACUCAAUAUUCUCUUUAAAUCAUCACAACUCUAACUCAUAUUUGCUUU